rnacentral:rRNA from 1 species
UAACCUGCUAAAUAGUAGUAUGAACCUUGGUUCGUGGUUUACUUCUUAGAGGGACUAUCUGUGUCUAACAGAUGGAAGUUUGAGGCAAUAACAGGUCUGUGAUGCCCUUAGAUGUUCUGGGCUGCACGCGCGCUACACUGAUGAAAUCAGCGAGUAUAUAACCUUGGCCGAAAGGUCCGGGUAAUCUUGUGAAAUUUCAUCGUGCUGGGGAUAGACCAUUGCAAUUAUUGGUCUUCAACGAGGAAUUCCUAGUAAGCGCGAGUCAUCAGCUCGCGUUGAUUACGUCCCUGCCCUUUGUACACACCGCCCGUCGCU